rnacentral:rRNA from 1 species
CUACCAUGGCGUUUACGGGUAACGGAGGAUUAGGGUUCGAUUCCGGAGAGGGAGCCUGAGAAACGGCUACCACAUCUAAGGAAGGCAGCAGGCGCGUAAAUUACCCAAUCCUGACUCAGGGAGGUAGUGACAAGAAAUAACGGACCGUUAGCCCUAGGGCGGCGGGACUGCAAUGAGCCGAAUUUACACCCCUUAGCGAGGACCAAUUGGAGGGCAAGUCUGGUGCCAGCAGCCGCGGUAAUUCCAGCUCCAAUAGCGUGUAUUAAAGUUGUUGCAGUUAAAAAGCUCGUAGUUGGAUUUCUGCCAGGGUGCCAAUGUCCGCCGAAGUGCGUGCGCAGCGGCGCCCUCGCAUCCUUCUGUUAACGCCUCUCGGCAUUCACUUGCCGGUGGUGGGCUCAGAUAAUUUACCUUGAGAAAAUUAGAGUGUUUCAGGCAGGCUAGGCCGGAAUACAUUAGCAUGGAAUAAUGGAAUAGGACUACGGUCUCGUUGUUGGUUUGAGGGACUGGAGUAAUGAUUAAUAGGGAUAGUUGGGGGCAUUAGUAUUUAAUUGUCAGAGGUGAAAUUCUCAGAUUUGUUAAAGACUAACUUAUGCGAAAGCAUUUGCCAAGGAUGUUUUCAUUAAUCAA